GACAGAGGGUGCAAACGUUGUUCGGAAUUACUGGGCGUAAAGCGUGCGUAGGCGGUUCGUUAAGUCUGUUGUGAAAGCCCCGGGCUCAACCUGGGAAUGGCAAUGGAUACUGGCGAGCUAGAGUGUGUCAGAGGAUGGUGGAAUUCCCGGUGUAGCGGUGAAAUGCGUAGAGAUCGGGAGGAACAUCAGUGGCGAAGGCGGCCAUCUGGGACAACACUGACGCUGAGGCACGAAAGCGUGGGGAGCAAACAGG
rnacentral:rRNA from 1 species